rnacentral:rRNA from 1 species
GAUGAACGCUGGCGGCGUGCCUAAUACAUGCAAGUCGAGCGAACAGACGAGGAGCUUGCUCCUCUGACGUUAGCGGCGGACGGGUGAGUAACACGUGGAUAACCUACCUAUAAGACUGGGAUAACUUCGGGAAACCGGAGCUAAUACCGGAUAAUAUAUUGAACCGCAUGGUUCAAUAGUGAAAGACGGUUUUGCUGUCACUUAUAGAUGGAUCCGCGCCGCAUUAGCUAGUUGGUAAGGUAACGGCUUACCAAGGCAACGAUGCGUAGCCGACCUGAGAGGGUGAUCGGCCCAAAUGGAACUGAGAAACGGUCCAGAAUCCUACGGGAGGCAGCAGUAGGGAAUCUUCCGCCAUGGGCGAAAGCCUGAAGGAGCAAAGCCGCGUGAGUGAUGAAGGUCUUCGGAUCGUAAAACUCUGUUAUUAGGGAAGAACAAAUGUGUAAGUAACUAUGCACGUCUUGAAGGUAACUAAUCAGAAAGCCACGGCUAACUACGUG